UGUACUGCAGAAUGAAGGCAAUGUGUGUAAUAUCCAAAUUAAUGUACGUUUACUUUGCUAUCCUCUGCAAAUGGCGAGAAGAAUCGUGUCUACUCUGUUCUUGCCAGAAUGAUGAUACAAACACCAAUUAUAUGAACCUACAGAUGAAUCUACAGGACCCCCAAACAAAACCUUUCCAAGCUAUCAAAGUAAUGCCCAAGUAAGGAAACCUCUACCAGCAAUCACCUACUCUCCAGGACGCAGUAGAAAACAUUGCAGGAUAUUAGAGAAAUGAGGGAAAACACAAUGGGAGAAAAGUUUGCACCCACGAUGAACAAAGGUCCUUUCGAUGGGGUGGAUUCACUGCCCCCGUCCUCCUUUUGCAUGUGGGAGAAGAAAAGAAGAAGAGUGUGGGGACAGGAUGUACGUGCACUCUUGUCUCCGUCAUUAUACCUAUUUUGGAAUCCAUGGCAGCAUGUUGUGCUUUGUCGGCACAUUCGUGCAUGUCUGAGGUCGCAGAUGAAGAAGCACCGAAUGAUCAUUAUAUUCUCCUCUGCUCUUAUCUUCUAUUGACAUAUGUAUGAUGUACCAUAUUUCCUGGCAUCCAACACAUCGGCGGUUUCAAGGCCGGUCCUGGGCGGCGCCUCGUCAGCGUCGUGGAUGGCUUGGGCAGCGCCUUGGCAUUCCAGAGGGGCAAAGUGGGCCGGCCAGCAUGCGUGGGGCGCAAAGGUGACGAGCAGGAGGGAGAUGCCCUGGAGGUGAUGGAGGAGGAAGUCGGAGGUGGCAUCAGCGUCCAUGGCGACGCCACCCCGGGAACCCUCCUGCACACCUCGGCAUGGCUCGUCUGUGCCACAUGGUGGCCAAGAUGCUAGUACCUCCUCUCUCUGGCUUCUCUCUUAUUUGCCCCUUUUUCUCGGGGAUGAGGGCGUCGGUGCAUCAUCAGGAGUGGAUCAAGAGCGGACCGUAGCAGCAGGAGCAAGGAUCUGGUGGUGGUUCAUGAUAUUGGACUGCAUUACUAAAUGUUCUAGGGUUGGAGAGAGCUUAGGUGAGUGCUCAAGUUCUAUGUGGAUAACAAUAACAAAAAAUAUAUAGAAAUCCAAAUCUCUAAAAAACUGACGGAAUCAUGUAUAUAUAUAUAUAUUUUCUAGGAUGUACUCUUUCUGAUUCCUAUUGUGAGAUGUUCGUUUGUAUGUUAUUUUCUUCCUUUUGUAAUUUGUUUUCUUUCUUUGGUGCUGCUUGAAGUGAUAUUUUGAUAUUCAUUUUUUUCUGAAAUUACAAGUCAGUCGCUUUUAUUUUUGAGUAUACAUAUUAACUGAUGCACAACUGGAUGCCAUUUUAUCCUGUGUGGCAUAAUGAUGGUAGUGAUUUGAAGCCAACCCAGAACUAUUAGUGAUCUUGACAAGUGGUGCUCUAAUAUUCAGUUGUUUUCUGAAAUUAAAUUUAGUUAGUUUUGUGUUUGAGUACGAAAAUAGUACAAAAGAGUGGUGUUCUAAUAUAUUUUUGUGUUAGGAAAUUAGAAGUUAUUUCAUUUUAGUUGAAGCCCAUCCAAGUAGCAUUUUAUUGUGUCUGUAUCUACCUAGUAAUGUGAGUCAGUGUAUCGAUUUGCCAAUUCUUGAUCAGUAUAUAAAAAUUCUUGAGCUGACGUGAUGCCUGCAAUGCUUUUUUUGUCUCCGCUAUUUUCUUCCUUUAGUGUACAAACUGUUUUUAUUCCCAGUUUCUGGUUUCUGUGUGCAUAGUAGGUUCAGAAUCAAUUUCUAAAAACACAAACUUUGCCAUGUUUUCUCGCCAUCAUCCACCUCCUGGUCCUUGUUCGUAACCCCUCUCUGCCAAUUUGAGAGACUGUUCUGUACUUCCAGAGAAAUACAACUUAUUUAUUAGGUUUCUCAGUUUCUCGAAUAUGCAGUAUAGCUGCUAAUGCUUCUUUGUUUUGUUGUAUCAUUU